AAUUCUUCAAGGGAAAUUAUUGGGAUGGGCAUACACUCGAAGGAAGUUCAAGUGCUUUGGAAGCUGUGAUUGGACACAGCUGCAGCUGAGAGGGAGUUCCAGCUAUUUUGGUAUAUCUUAAAGGGUUAUGAGACUUAGCUGUGCAGAUUGAAGAAAGCUCUGUAUGGCCUCAAACAGGCCUCCUGUGCUUGACAUUUGGAGCAGUAGGGGACCUCUACAAAGAAGCUGCAGCUGAAGUUGCAGGGGAAUGAUCAAGGAAAGGAAUGAAGAGGCAACCUACAAGAUACCACACAAAAGAGAGGGAUGUUAAACACAAGAAUGAUGCAAGGAAGGAGACGUUGUAACAAAGGAGGAAAGCUCUCUACAACACUUCAAGGAAGGACUUCAUGACAUGAGAAGAGACAAGGAACACACUACAAAGAAGGAGAAAAGAAAGCAUGACAAUACAAUUGUAAAGGAAGGGUAAGGAAUCAUCAUCACAAAGUGAAGAUUAACAUCAAGGAAGUAACAUGGAAAUUCAAGAAAACUUGUCAGGAUAAGGAGGUAAUCUAAGAUAGGAGAUUCAAGAUGGAGAGCCAUGCACGAAGAAGUUAUAGAUAUCCUAAGGAAGGAGUUUCCACACAAGAGACAGAGAAGGAAAAUGUGAUAAAGGUAGAAGAUAGUUCCAGAAGAGUUAAUCAAAGCUAGAAGACGAUGCAAUUUGGCAAUAUCUUCCACCUUCUUCACCUUAGGCGCUUGGAAAUGUUGAGUAUCAAGAGAUAUUGCUUGAAUCAUAGGCACUUGUGAUGAGUUACAAAGAACAAGCUGAGGUGACACCUAGUCAUCUUCAGCCCAAUCACAUCAUUCGAGGUCAAAGCAUCUAGAUUCAAUGCAGUUGACUUAUCCAUCAAGGAGGAUAACUACAAUAGGUGGAUGCACAAAGUUCGAUGUACCUAACCUCAUUCUUUAUUGGUCAACAUUCAAAGGACAUGUGUCUUAUUUAUUGUAAUUUUAUCAUUGGUCAAUCAUUAAAUGUUAUGUAAUGGGUUUAACAAACCACAAUUAGGGUUUCUAUCUUUCAAUUUUGGCCAUUGAUGUGGGUUUGAUCCUAGCCAUUCAGUUUUAUUGAGAGCACUAUAUAAGGCUCAAUUCUCUCAUUUGUAAAUGUUAAUAGUUCAAUAGUAGGUUAAUAGUCAAUAGAAGAUAGGUAGUAGAUAGCUAGAGUAGAGUAGGAGAUUGUUGCCAAGACUUUGUUGCAAGAAGUAUAUUAUUUUCAUUGAAGAUAUGGUUAAUUUCAU